rnacentral:rRNA from 1 species
ACGAACGCUGGCGGCGUGCCUAAUACAUGCAAGUUGAGCGCUGAAGGUUGGUACUUGUACCGACUGGAUGAGCAGCGAACGGGUGAGUAACGCGUGGGGAAUCUGCCUUUGAGCGGGGGACAACAUUUGGAAACGAAUGCUAAUACCGCAUAAAAACUUUAAACACAAGUUUUAAGUUUGAAAGAUGCAAUUGCAUCACUCAAAGAUGAUCCCGCGUUGUAUUAGCUAGUUGGUGAGGUAAAGGCUCACCAAGGCGAUGAUACAUAGCCGACCUGAGAGGGUGAUCGGCCACAUUGGGACUGAGACACGGCCCAAACUCCUACGGGAGGCAGCAGUAGGGAAUCUUCGGCAAUGGACGAAAGUCUGACCGAGCAACGCCGCGUGAGUGAAGAAGGUUUUCGGAUCGUAAAACUCUGUUGGUAGAGAAGACCGUUGGUGAGAGUGGAAAGCUCAUCAAGUGACGGUAACUACCCAGAAAGGGACGGCUAACUACGUG